AUAAUAGGUGAGGACAAACUAAAGACAAUUCUGAAGGAACAGGAUGUCAAAGUGUACUGGGGGACCGCCACCACCGGGAAGCCAUACUUGGCCUACUUUGUUCCCAUGUCCAAGAUAGCCGACUUCCUCAGGGCAGGAUGCGAGGUGACCAUUCUGUUUGCGGAUUUACAUGCUUAUCUAGGCAACAUGGAGGCCCCCUGGGACCUCCUGGCUUUGCGAGUUCAGUAUUAUGAGAGAGCGAUCAAAGCAAUGCUCAAAUCUAUUGGAGUUCCCCUGGAGAAACUCAAGUUUGUCAAAGGAUCAGACUACCAGCUCAGCAAAGAGUACACUCUGGAUGUUUACCGCCUGUCGUCAAUGGUUACGGAACACGAUGCCAAGAAAGCGGGCGCUGAGGUGGUCAAGCAGGUGGGGAAUCCCCUGCUGAGUGGUCUCCUGUACCCAGGGCUCCAGGCUUUGGAUGAAGAAUAUUUAAAAGUGGAUGCUCAGUUUGGUGGUGUAGAUCAGAGAAAAAUUUUCACAUUUGCUGAAAAGUAUCUCCCCCACUUGGGUUACACAAAGAGAAUUCACCUCAUGAAUCCCAUGGUUCCUGGUUUGACUGGAGACAAAAUGAGUUCAACGGUGGAGGAUUCCAAGAUUGACUUAUUAGAUUCCCCCUCUGCUCUGAAGAAGAAGCUGAAGAAGGCCUUCUGUGAGCCGGGCAAUGUGAAAGACAAUGGCGUCCUGUCCUUCUGUCAGCACGUGCUGUUUCCACUCCGAGGGAAAGAGGGUUUCCUUGUAAAGAGAGUGCCUGAGUUUGGAGGCGACUCCAUGUAUGCAACUUAUGAUGAACUAGAGCAGGCAUUUGCAAAAGAGGAGGUACAUCCAGGGGAUCUGAAGGCCUCCGUGGAGAGAUAUUUAAAUGAGCUGCUAGAACCAAUCAGGAAAGAGUUUGAAUCGGCAGAGAACAAAAAACUAGUGGCCCAGGCUUACCCAGUGGAGAAGAAAAAGAAGCCCGGUCAGCAGGGAGGUGAAGCGGGCGGCUCCGAUGAACUGGUUCCCUCUCUGUUAGAUCUACGAGUCGGCAAAAUAUUGGACGUCAAAAAGCACCCUGAUGCUGAGUCACUGUACGUGGAGACAGUUGACGUGGGGGAGGGUGAACCGCGGACCGUGGUCAGUGGAUUGGCGGGGCUCUACCCCAUGGAGGAUCUACAGAACAGAAUGGGGGUGUUCCUGUGUAACCUGAAGGCUGUCAAGAUGAGGGGCGUGGUGUCACAGGCCAUGCUCAUGUGUGCCUCAGUAGAUGACCCCCGGGCCGUGGAACCCCUAGACCCCCCUCAAGGUAGCACCCCAGGGGACAGAGUGAUGUUUGAGGGACAUGAGCAGGGAAAACCAGAGGAGGAACUCAAACCCAAGAAGAAAAUCUGGGAGAAACUACAGGUGUGUUACAAUAUACCAGUAAUGAGGAAGCAGGGUGUUUAUUGUGUGCAUCUGCCAAACCAUUUAGUAUUUAUUUAAACUAUAAAAUGCUUUUUUUGGUGAUUCAUGUGGGAUAUGAAAGUAGUGACAUUGCAGAAAAAACAUGCGAGUUAUGUGAAUUGUUUUGCAAUGAUCGCUACCUUCAACACCCGCAUGAAUCAUCAAAGAAAGCAUUUAAUUGUUAAUAUUUAGUUUUUCUUUUAACCAAUUAAUAAAUUGAUUAUAAAAAGUAAAAUACACUAAAUUGCUGUAUAAGUACAUUAGCUAAAAGAAACAACCAAAUCGUCUCCUUUGAGACGGGGUCUGACAUCAUCAUGAUUAUUUCGUGCAAACUGUGAUUUUUCUUACGUCACCAAUUGAUAAACAGGGAGUGUCGACUUCAUUCCUGUCAGUUUCAGCCACUGUAGAUUUCGACCAAUCCAUAAACGGGCGUGUUUCUCUAAAGCUAUGAAUUAACUAUUAGUUUAUGGAAGAAAUAGAGGGAAUCAUACUUGAUAGAUGUAAAUAUUUGUAUAAAAAUUAUGUAAAAAUUCUAGGUAAUUUUUAAAGUUUGAACGUCUAUUGCAGGUGGAUUUGAGAGUGAAUGAGAAAAGUAUAGCAGAAUGGCAGGGCAAUGUAAUGAAGACCAAGCUAGGGAAUGUUACAGCCAGCAGUCUAAAGUGCGUACCGAUAAAGUGACGGAACAAGCCUGAAUAUAGACUCAAAUUAAUACAUGUAUCUGGAAAAAGUGCUCCAUUAUUUAUUGUUUCUGACUGACAGAAACCAGUUCUUCAAGACAUAUUCUAUCCAUGGGGGUUUUUUUUUACACCAGACUUUUUCAUUUUCAGUUCUACUGAUGUAUUUUUUUUAAGGUAGGGGGAUUGGAGUUUGAUUUAUUAUUGAAUCAGAAUGUGAAAUGAGAGACCCUUGAAUGUUUUCUGGAGGAAAUUUACCCAUGAAUAUUUUGCUUUCAUGAAGAAACAAACUUUCUUUAUAAAACAAGUAUUACAUGUAUUAUUUUGUCAUGCUCAGUAGGUAUUUUUAAUGUCCUAUGUAAUACAUGUACAUGUACAAUGUAUUUUGUUUUUACUUCGCAAGAAAGUUCAUGCACCUGAUAAAGGGUCAUAUGUUGAAAAUAAAUUUUGUCAAGCUAUUUUGAGAUAAAAUGAUAUUCGAUGAUUUUAUUGAUUUUUAAUAAAACAUGUGUCCACCUGUAUGUGACGUUCAAACAUUGUUUUCUCUUCAUUAAUGGGAUAUAUAUACAUCUUGUGUAUGUUCUUAAAGUGUUGGUAGUUUUAAUUAUGGAUGUCGUUCCGACUUUGAAAGAAGAGUGAAUUGAAUCACUAGCACCUGACAUUAUAUAUUUUACUCGUAAAUAAAUUCAGCU
rnacentral:misc_RNA from 1 species